GGGAGGCUGACACCGUGGACUCUCCCAGCUCAGUCGACCCAUGCACCUUGCUUCAUGGAAGAAAGGAAUGGAAGAUGAGUCAUGCCUUCAGCACAUAGUGACCUUCCUCACUAGUAAAUGUGCCUCCAGAAGUGUCCAAGAACUCACUCUCAGAGCCAGGCUGGCUGCAUUAGAAUCACCUGAGAGCUUUUGCAAACGUAGGCCCCUACUGGGUCCAAAUGCAUUCAUCUCUUGGAGAGAGGAGAGAGGCAGAACAAGGAAAAGGAUGGGAAGAAACCAGCCUUGUGCACAGGAGGAUGCUGGGAUUCCUCCUGCAAGUUUAGCGCAAUGCAGCCUAUUUUACAAGGUCACAGAAGCUCAGAGAGCAGUCCUGGGAGAGAAGCAGAUGUGGUUUCCAAUUCCACUUUCCAGAAGAGGAGACUGAGGCAGAGGCUUUGCAGAUACACAGAGGACAUGUGAGGACAGGUGAAGGUCAUGAUCAUUGUCAGCCCCCUCCCCCAACUGGACAUUCCCAGAUCUGGUGGACUUCCAGCCAGUGGAGACAGAAAGACUGGAUCACUCAACUCUGCCAUGGGUGCCAGGACCCAAUUUUUCCCUUGCUAACUCGGUCACCUCCUGUCUG
rnacentral:lncRNA from 1 species